ACGGAGGGUGCAAGCGUUGUUCGGAAUUAUUGGGCGUAAAGGGCGCGUAGGCGGCAGUGUAAGUCAGAUGUGAAAUACUCCGGCUUAACCAGAGAACAGCAUCUGAAACUGCGCAGCUAGAGUACAGAAGAGGGAAACGGAAUUCCCGGUGGAGGGGUUAAAUUCUUAGGUAUCCGGAGGAACACCAGUUGCGGAGGCGGUUUCCUGGUCUGAUACUUACGGUAGAGCGCGAAAGCGUUGGGAGCAAACAG
rnacentral:rRNA from 1 species